rnacentral:rRNA from 1 species
UAUUAUAGUUAUACCCUGUUGUACCGUGGGCUUGUCAGAUCUCACAAGCUAAGCAGGCUUGGGCUUGGUCAGUACUGAAGUGGAUGACCUCCAGAGAAAAGCUGGCUGUGAUAG